rnacentral:rRNA from 1 species
AUUGAACGCUGGCGGCAGGCCUAACGCAUGCAAGUCGAGCGGUAACACAGGGAGCUUGCUCCCGGGUGACGAGCGGCGGACGGGUGAGUAAUGUCUGGGAAACUGCCUGAUGGAGGGGGAUAACUACUGGAAACGGUAGCUAAUACCGCAUAACGUCGCAAGACCAAAGAGGGGGACCUUCGGGCCUCUUGCCAUCAGAUGUGCCCAGAUGGGAUUAGCUAGUAGGUGGGGUAAUGGCUCACCUAGGCGACGAUCCCUAGCUGGUCUGAGAGGAUGACCAGCCACACUGGAACUGAGACACGGUCCAGACUCCUACGGGAGGCAGCAGUGGGGAAUAUUGCACAAUGGGCGCAAGCCUGAUGCAGCCAUGCCGCGUGUAUGAAGAAGGCCUUCGGGUUGUAAAGUACUUUCAGCGGGGAGGAAGGUGUUGAGGUUAAUAACCUCAGCAAUUGACGUUACCCGCAGAAGAAGCACCGGCUAACUCCGUGCCAGCAGCCGCGGUAA